rnacentral:lncRNA from 1 species
AAAGGUUGAACAAGCUUCUUCAUGAGAAGAAGUCAAAACUCUCUGUUUAAUAGAUGUAUAUAUAGAUAUUUUAGAUGUAUCAAUCACAGUAUUACUAUACUUCUGCCACCGUUUGUCUUGCUUUGACCCAAAGUAAUAUGAAGAAGAGAACCAACCAAACAAAGAUAAUAAUAUGAGGAAACAUGGGAUGGAUGUUGAGUUGUGGGACCAGCAUAGCAGUGUGGCUGACGUGGCAAGGGGAUCUCAGAAUUACCGUUGACCUGUUUUGGGUCAGUGGAAGGAUUGCUGCAGCCACAGAACCCCCCCCAAAAAAAGCUCUACUUCUUUUUCUUCUACUUGCAGCUCUGCUGCACCACCCAGAGCCUGCCACUGCCCACGCACGCUCCCCCAAAUCUCCCCAAAAACAUUACAAAACAAUAAAAUAAGCUUCGCACAUAUCCUUUUCCGUUUUUCGCCACUUCCCCCAUAUC